rnacentral:lncRNA from 1 species
CAGAAGGGAUACCACCGGGAGUUCUCACAAGAAACUUCUAUUUCGGUGCUCGGCCACUCGUACAGAGGGUCCUUUGUCCUGAUGCAUAAAGUGAGCAACGGUCCCGAAUGGCCUUGGUGAGUCUCUCCUGUCGCGGGAGGAAAGUGUCUACGUUGCAUGUACCUACAUGACGAGUAGAAAUAAUGCUGAAUACAUACAUAUGUAUAUGAAAAAGAAGAAACGAAUAUAGAGGAGAGGAGAAGAAGAAGAAGAAGAAGAAGAAGAAGAAGUGGUCGUACCGCUGCUCGGUUGAGAACUUCCGGUCGAUGAUUCCACGCAAAUAUCACGGCCACCGCAUCCGUUUCUUUACCGCAUUUCCGAUUGAGUUAAUCCGCGAAAGUCGGUCCACAGUUAACAUAA